GAUGAACGCUGGCGGCGUGCCUAAUACAUGCAAGUCGAGCGAAUGGAUUAAGAGCUUGCUCUUAUGAAGUUAGCGGCGGACGGGUGAGUAACACGUGGGUAACCUGCCCAUAAGACUGGGAUAACUCCGGGCAACCGGGGCUAAUACCGGAUAACAUUUUGAACCGCAUGGUUCGAAAUUGAAAGGCGGCUUCGGCUGUCACUUAUGGAUGGACCCGCGUCGCAUUAGCUAGUUGGUGAGGUAGCGGCUCACCAAGGCAACGAUGCGUAGCCGACCUGAGAGGGUGAUCGGCCACACUGGGACUGAGACACGGCCCAGACUCCGACGGGAGGCAGCAGUGGGGAAUCUUCCGCAAUGGACGAAAGUCUGACGGAGCAACGCCGCGUGAGUGAUGAAGGCUUUCGGGUCGUAAAACUCUGUUGUUAGGGAAGAACAAGUGCUAGUUGAAUAAGCUGGCACCUUGACGGUACCUAACCAGAAAGCCACGGCUAACUACGUGCCAGCAGCCGCAGUAA
rnacentral:rRNA from 1 species